rnacentral:lncRNA from 1 species
GUGGCUCAUCUGAUCGAAGGAAAAAAUGGUACUCGGCUUCAGCGCCGAGUACCAGUUUCUCGCCGCUCCCUUCAAGGUGGAGGGGAAGGCUCGGCACAGAAUGGCGUCGGGAGCGCCAUGAAGCAGCAUCAUCGUCCGGAAGGCUUCCAGGUGAUCGACCGGGUCCAAAGUCCCAUCGUAGCUCUCGAACUGGGGGAGCUUGAAGUUUGGUGGGAUCGGUUCCUGCAUGAUCAUUUGAGAGAAGGGAGGGUCAGUACAAAUAUCCUCACCAUAAGCGGGGGGAGCAUGGCGG